CUAGCAGGGAUCGGCGUUGUGCUACAAAUAAAUGCACUCUGUUUUUUAAAGAGUUACCCUGCAAAAGGGAAAAAAAAAUCUGCUGGAGGAAGAUGGCAGUUGUGCUUCAUCUGUUGAAAGUUUCAACAAUCAUCUUCCCCACAUCA
rfam:Ricinus communis cultivar Hale ctg_1100012359100, whole genome shotgun sequence.